GACGAACGCUGGCGGCGUGCUUAACACAUGCAAGUCGAACGAAGUGGCGAACGGGUGAAUAACGCGUAAUCAACCUGCCCUUCAGAGGGGGACAACAGGUGGAAACGACUGCUAAUACCGCAUACUGAAGGAGGGGCUUGCGUCUGUUUAGCUAGUUGGAGGGGUAACGGCCCACCAAGGCGAUGAUCAGUAGCAGGUCUCAGAGGGUGAACGGCCACAUUGGGACUGAGACACGGCCCAGACGCCGACGGGAGGCAGCAGGUGGGAAUCUUCCGCAAUUGACGAAAGUCUGAGGGGGCAACGCGGCGUGAGUGAGGACGGCCUUCGGGUUGUAAAGCUCUGUUAAUCGGGACGCGGUACCUGAAUAGAAAGCCACGGCUAACUACGUGCCAGCAGCCGCGGUAAUAC
rnacentral:rRNA from 1 species